rnacentral:rRNA from 1 species
CAGCAGCCGCGGUAAUACGUAGGGUGCGAGCGUUAAUCGGAAUUACUGGGCGUAAAGCGUGCGCAGGCGGUUUUGUAAGACAGGCGUGAAAUCCCCGGGCUCAACCUGGGAAUGGCGCUUGUGACUGCAAAGCUAGAGUGCGGCAGAGGGGGAUGGAAUUCCGCGUGUAGCAGUGAAAUGCGUAGAUAUGCGGAGGAACACCGAUGGCGAAGGCAAUCCCCUGGGCCUGCACUGACGCUCAUGCAUGAAAGCGUGGGGAGCAAACAGGAUUAGAUACCCCCGUAGUCCCUGUCUCUUAUAA